rnacentral:tRNA from 1 species
GGCCCGUUGGUCAAGCGGUUAAGACACCGCCCUUUCACGGCGGUAACAUGGGUUCGAUGCCCGUACGGGUCACCA